ACUGCCUCCAAGGGUCCCCCAGGUGUGGCGGCACUAGUACCGCUGUGCCCCUGCCUGGAGCCAAGCCAGGACACUGUCUCCACCCAGCGCACCUGAGAGUGGAACGUCCCUUCGGGCUCCCCCCAGGAAAAGCAAAAAACGAAAACAAAACAAAAAGGAGAUUCAAAUUGCAAAACAAAGGAGAUUACAGUGGCACAACUGGAGGAGUUUACUCGAUAAAAACAAGGUCUUUAUCCAGAAAUAUCAAGAUGAUUAAAAAAUGGGUUAAGGGUGAAAUGGAUAACGAGACCUGGCCCAGAGGUUAGGAUGAAAGAAUGAUGUACCACCUUCAGGCCAGGAAACCAAGAUCUCCGAGCACAAUCCCAUUCCAGUCUCCAAAUGAGCCCAGGACAUUGUUUAGCAAUGAAGAAUACAGAAGUCUGGCUCAAAACCUUGCCCAGGGAUGCUCCCGAAGGUGAAAAGAAGGGAAUCCAGUGACUUGACAGAAG